rnacentral:tRNA from 1 species
GGCGGGUUACCCAAGUGGCCAAAGGGAGCUGGCUGUAAACCAGUUGCGCAAGCUUCGGGGGUUCGAAUCCCUCACCCGCCACCA